UUCAUAGCCUUCUAUCUGACUCAGAUACGUUACCAGAUAUUUUGCUUCGGACAAGAACAUCAUUAUCAUGAACAAGUCAACGAUCUUUCUUCUAUGCCUGCUGCUACUGGGAGUUGUAAUUGAGACUGAAGCCCACUGCAGAUACCACUGUAUACAAAUUUAUUGUAGAUAUGGUAUAUGCAGAUACUUAUGUAAAUGGAGAUGUUAUGGUGUGGUUCCAUUCGACGCAAAAGAAAAACCUGAAGAUAAAGAAGUGGAGUUCAAAGAGGGAGAAAAACCAAAUGAAUUUGAUUUAGAUGAAUAGCCGACAUCUAUAUACAAUGGUUCUUCUCUUUAACCUGUGAUAGCUGGAACUAUCUGAUAUCUUUUGUUUAGUAUUAUAAUCAUACUAAAUACGUCUUCCAUGAUGUAAACUGGUUAUCUUUACUGAAAAAUUCAAUAAAAUCAUUUGAUAUUUUGA